AUUGAACGCUGGCGGCAGGCCUAACACAUGCAAGUCGAGCGGAAACACGAAGAGCGUUCCCGCCUUACGGUAGCGUCGGGCGGGUGAGUAACAAGUAUAUAACAUUCCUCUAUGGCUGGGGUAACUUCGUGGAACCGGAUCCAAUAACCGAUCAUAGAUUGAACGGCAUGGAGCAGGAGUUCAAGGCCUCUUUGCUGUCACUUUGAGCUGGUGCCGCGUCGGAUUAGCUAGUUGGUAAGGUAACGGCUUACCAAGGCGACGAUGCGUAGCUGAUCUGAGAGGAUGAUCAGCCACACUGGAACUGAGACACGGUCCAGACUCCUACGGGAGGCAGCAGUGGGGAAUAUUGGACAAAGGGCGAAAGCCUGAUGCAGCCAUGCCGCGUGAGUGAAGAAGGUCUUCGGAUUGUAAAGCACUUUUAGUGGGGAGGAAGGGAUGUAAGUUAAUAUCUGGCCGUAUUGACGGUACCCAAAGAAUAAGCACCGGCUAACUUCGUG
rnacentral:rRNA from 1 species